rnacentral:rRNA from 1 species
AGUGAACGCUGGCGGUAGGCCUAACACAUGCAAGUCGAACGGCAGCACAGUAAGAGCUUGCUCUUACGGGUGGCGAGUGGCGGACGGGUGAGGAAUACAUCGGAAUCUACUUUUUCGUGGGGGAUAACGUAGGGAAACUUACGCUAAUACCGCAUACGACCCACGGGUGGAAGCAGGGGAUCUUCGGACCUUGCGCGAUUGAAUGAGCCGAUGUCGGAUUAGCUAGUUGGCGGGGGAAAGGCCCACCAAGGCGACGAUCCGUAGCUGGUCUGAGAGGAUGAUCAGCCACACUGGAACUGAGACACGGUCCAGACUCCUACGGGAGGCAGCAGUGGGGAAUAUUGGACAAUGGGCGCAAGCCUGAUCCAGCCAUACCGCGUGGGUGAAGAAGGCCUUCGGGUUGUAAAGCCCUUUUGUUGGGAAAGAAAAGCAGCAGGUUAAUACCCCGCUGUUCUGACGGUACCCAAAGAAUAAGCACCGGCUAACUUCGUG